AUGUCCAACUACAUGAUGUACCUACUGUUUGUGAAUCCUGAAAUGCUAAUGGCAGGCACCAGAAGGAACCUUUUCACGACCGCCUACGACGAACUGAAGGGCAUCAUUAUCCAGGGAGACAAGCAAACUCAUAAGGAAGCAGAGCUUACACAGAUGAUAAUUGCUGCGGUGGAUGAUGGUACCCAGCAGCAACAGGGGGGCAUUAUCCGUGACGCUUGGAGUAUUACCAAAGUAUUGUCCUGUCUGCCUGAAGAGAAGAUGUGGAAUGUGGUGGAAGGCAUCUGGGUGGAGAUGUUGUGCUUCUCCGCCGCUAGAUGCAGAGGAUACCUCCACGCCAAGGGUUUGGCCACCGGUGUGGAAUACCUCACCUAUGUCUGGCUCCUAUUGUACUACAUGGGGAUGGAGACUUUGGCAGCCAAAUUGCAGAGGGCGGAUCAUCAUUAUCACAACGGAGGAGUGCCUGGGGAUGAACCUUCAACUUCUCGUGUCAGCAGGGCUGCCACUACCCAAGAGGAAGCUGCUGGUCCAUCGAGAUCAAGUGGAACCUACAAAGAACAUGCUGAAGGUCAAUCCGCUGGUUACCAGGGCAGCCAUGCCACCGGGGAAGAAAUCGUGUAA
rnacentral:rRNA from 1 species